rnacentral:rRNA from 1 species
CCUACGGGAGGCUGCAGUGGGGAAUUUUCGGCAAUGGGCGAAAGCCUGACCGAGCAAUGCCGCGUGAAUGAUGAAGAUCUUCGGAUUGUAAAGUUCUGUUGUUAGGGAAGAACAUAUUGAUGAGUGGAAAAUAUCAAUACUGACGGUACCUAACUAGAAAGCCCCGGCUAAAUAUGUGCCAGCAGCCGCGGUAAUACAUAUGGGGCAAGCGUUAUCCGGAAUUAUUGGGCGUAAAGCGUGCGUAGGCGGUUUGUUAAGUCCGGUGUGAAAUUUCAUGGCUUAACCAUGAAGGGUCAUUGGAAACUGGCAAACUUGAGUACGGUAGGGGUAAGUGGAAUUCCAAGUGGAGCGGUGGAAUGCGUAGAGAUUUGGAGGAACACCAGUGGCGAAGGCGGCUUACUGGGCCGGAACUGACGCUGAGGCACGAAAGCGUGGGGAGCAAACAGGCUUAGAUACCCCUGUAGUC